rnacentral:pre_miRNA from 1 species
AAUCUAGUGGAAACGUUUCCAUACAGACUGGAAUCUGUGCCCAGUGUGCGGAAGCGCUUCUGCUGCAUU